AAGUCGUAACAAGGUCUCGUUGGUGACCAGCGGAGGGAUCAUUACCGAGUUUACAACUCCCAAACCCCUGUGAACAUACCUAUACGUUGCCUCGGCGGAUCAGCCCGCGCCCCGUAAAAAGGGACGGCCCGCCCGAGGACCCCUAAACUCUGUUUUUAGUGGAACUUCUGAGUAAAACAAACAAAUAAAUCAAAACUUUCAACAACGGAUCUCUUGGUUCUG
rnacentral:misc_RNA from 1 species